GUGAAUCAUCGAAUUUUUGAACGCAACUUGCACUUUCUGGUAUUCCGGGAAGUAUGCCUGUUUGAGGAUCAGUUAAAUAAUAAUCGGAGUUGUUGCUGCCUUUCGUGAUGACGCGUCGGUAUUGGGUCGUCUUACCUUCUGUUAUUUGACUUAAAAUUUUUGCAUGAUUUUCGAACGUAUUUAAAUCGCUUACGUACGUUUGAGAUAUCGAAUGCUUAUUAGG
rnacentral:misc_RNA from 1 species